GGCCAGAUGUAAAGAGCCCCUAUAAAUCUCUAUCAAUUAUAACAAUGCACUAUCUGUACAUAGACUACAAAGAAGGCCUGAAAUUAGGGCUGCACGAUUAAUCGAAUGCGAUUGUCAUGCGUGUCUCAUCAGUAAAGAUGGUUCUGUGAUUAGCGGUAAAUGUCCAUCAGCUGCUUUCAAAUGGAGCCGCACCUAAUAUACAGAGCCGUAGAUCGUUGACAAGCUACACUGUUAGCAAUUGAUGUAAUUUUUACAAUAAAUUUUACAACAACGCACUGUAUUCAUGUUUUUGUUGUAAAUGCAAAUGCAUGAUGGGAAAUUAACGGACAGUCCUGUAAAAUUAUUGUAACUACACUGUAGAAGCAUUUUUUUACAGCAACCGCAUAGCAUUGUGGGAUCGCUGCUGUUUGAAUUUUGAAAUUACGCGGCCAACGGACGGUACUUUUUGGAAGAAAGAACAUGUCUCAGGUAUGUAACAUAACAUUUGUUUUAUAAGUCUUUAUAUAUUAAUACUGGUGAUCUGAGUGAGUGCUGAUUGUUUCAUUUGGUAUAAUUCGGUGGAAUAGGGUGAAGUUAGUUAAAAUCGCGUCUUCAUACUCUAUCCAGAUUUACAUCGCAAGAACUUUACCCAGAAACUAUGGACUUUGGGCUGGAACUCGGUGUGCUUCCACCGCAGCUACCAUGAUCUAAAUAAAGUUCUGGGUAAAAAAAAAAUGCCCCUCAGAAAGUCCCUGCUCGGGAGGUACUUGUUCAAAGGUAACGUUACUGAACUUUCGGGAGUGGCAAUGCAGCAUUGUAGUUUCAACCACCAUUUCUUUUGAUAAUUUUUAAAAUAUUACUGUCAUCGUGUCAUGAAAGGAGAGGCACUAAGUGCAGACAAAUGGAUGAUGUCUUUGGAAGGGACAACUGUGAUGGUGCCCCACAACAACCUUCUGAAUGGAGUGCAGCGACCUUCGCUGUCUACGUUUUUAACUAACAGUAUCCUAAAGAGGCCUCAAGCACUAAAGAGCUUUUUGUGGAAUCAAUUCCAAGAUGUCAGCAAAGCAGAGAAGAGACGGGGGAUCAACGCACCUGUCUACACACUAUUAAGAAGACUCCUGGGCUUUGAGUUGAUGGGCUAG
rnacentral:lncRNA from 1 species